UCAAGUCUGCAACGACUGGAUAUUUUAUUCAGAAAAAUUUAACAGAUGAUGGUUUGUAUACCAUCCAUACUGGAGCUAUAGACAGUGACCUGGUGGGCAAAGUAUCAAGGCACAAUGGACAAAGUGUCCUUGAUGUCUGGUCUACACCAUGGGCUAAUAUGAUCAAUGGGACGGGUAGGU
rnacentral:sRNA from 1 species